UACGUAGGCAGCAAGCGUUGUUCGGAGUUACUGGGCGUAAAGGGUGUGUAGGCGGUUAUUUAAGUUUGGUGUGAAAUCUCCCGGCUCAACCGGGAGGGUGCGCCGAAUACUGAAUGACUUGGAGUGCGGGAGAGGAAAGUGGAAUUCCUGGUGUAGCGGUGAAAUGCGUAGAGAUCAGGAAGAAUACCCGUGGCGCAAGCGCCCACCUGGCCGAGACCUGACGCUAAGGCACGAAAGCGUGGGGAGCGAACCGG
rnacentral:rRNA from 1 species